CAUCCUCAAAAUAGUUGCAAUCUUAAAUACCCAGUGUAGUUUUAAAAUAAAAUAAAAAAGUGAUAAGAGGUUUAACCUAAAAUCUGAAAAUUUAAAGAAUGACUUUAAAAAUCAUUGAAACGAGACUGAAGGUGUGAAAAAUGUUAAUAAAUAAAUAAGUACCGGCAGCUGAAGUGAAAUCUCGAAGAAUGAAGAACUUAAGAAAUGCAAAAGCUGGAGUCAUCGGUCGGAGAAAGCAGCCGGAAAUCCGAGAUCACAGAUCAGAAAGAU
rnacentral:lncRNA from 1 species